UACGUAGGGGGCAAGCGUUGUCCGGAAUUACUGGGCGUAAAGCGCACGUAGGCGGGUUCUUAAGUCGGUGGUGAAAUCCUGGAGCUCAACUCCAGAACUGCCUUCGAAACUGGGAAUCUUGAGUCCGGGAGAGGUGAGUGGAACUGCGAGUGUAGAGGUGAAAUUCGAUAGAUAUUCGCAAGAACACCAGUGGCGAAGGCGGCUCACUGGCCCGGUACUGACGCUGAGGUGCGAAAGCGGUGGGGAGCAAACAGGG
rnacentral:rRNA from 1 species